AUGUGUCUAGUUUUCUUUCCCUUCCCUAGGACGAUAAAAACAAGCAGAGGAGCCAAUCCAUGUUCGCGGGGGCCUGGACUCGAGGCCAGUUUAUUUCACGCAUCUUUGCAUCUUUGCAACACUGGAAACAAACGACUCCCCCAACAGCGUCAGGGAAAUGUGACGUCCCUGCUCCGUGUUCCACAGGAGGAGGGAUUGGAGCAUCGAAGCCGUAACUCGACUAUAGGCUUUUCACGUGGAAGGACAUUUACGUUGGGUGAGCCCUGGAAACGGGUUUUCAGUUUGAAUAUGUCAAACCCUGAUGGCAGCUUUUUAUUUGACUGGAAGGAUGGCUUAUUCUCUCUUGGGUUAAUUACAGUGGCCUCUGAGGGGAAAGGGCUUCUUACUGAAGAAGGGAAAAAAGACCCACGUGGCCGUGACAUUUGCCAUCAUCUAAUUGGGUUGUCCUGAAGUCCUGGAGCUGUGUGCCAGGCUGGAGGGCUGGGACUCCAGGAAAACUGACGCAGGGAAAGCAUUCAAGUUCAUGGACCUUUCCUUGGACACAGGGGGCUUUUCUGCAGCGCUGUGGGCUGCUCAUGGCACAAGGGCAUCAUCCCGGGGAUGCAGACUGGCUGAAGUUCAGCCCUUGUUCUGCUCACCCAGCCUCGCUGUCUGGAGGAUGGGGAGCCUUUUCCGCUUAAGCAAAGGUGCUGUGUGGUUAGCAGUGGCCCUCAGCUCAUCCAGCAUGGACAAGGACCCACUGCUGGGCUGUUAGAGGAACUUAAAGCAAUAGCUUUACUGUGUCUUUCUAGCUCUUCCAAACAACUCCCAUUUGCCCUCUGUAUUCUUCUGCCUUAUCAUGCUCAGCCUCCUCUCAUGUGGCACAAAGAGAGUGAGGAAAGACCGAACUCACUGAUAGAACAGAUUGGUGGUUGCCAGAGGCGGCAGGUGGGAAGUGGGCAAAAUGGGUGAGGGUUGUCAAAAGGUAUCAACUUCCACUUGUCAGAUAAAGAAGUCCUGGGGAUGUAACAUACAGCAUGGUGACUAUAGUUAAUAAUACUGUAUUGUAUAUUUGAA
rnacentral:lncRNA from 1 species